AAAAGUCUAGCCUGCUCACUGAUAAAAUUUUUAAGAGCCGCGGUAUUUCUGACUGUGCAAAGGUAGCAUAAUCGUUAGUUUUUUAAUUGAAAUCUUGUAUGAAUGGUUUGACAAAAAAAAGACUGUCUUUAUAAUUAUUAAUUGAAUUUAACUUUUAAGUGAAAAGGCUUAAAUAAAUUAAAAAGACGAUAAGACCCUAUAAAGCUUAAUAAAAAUUUUUUAUUUAAUAGAAUUUUUUAUAAGCAUAAAUGUUUGGUAAAUAAUUUUAUUUUAUUGGGGUGAUAAUGGUAAAAUGGUUAUUAACUGUUAAUUAAAUUAAGACAAAAAUAAGUGAAUUAUAAAUUUUAUUUAAUAAAUGAUCCUAUUUAAAGAUUAAGAGUUUAAGUUACUUUAGGGAUAACAGCGUUAUUUUUUUUGAGAGUUCUUAUCGAGAAAAAAGUUUGCGACCUCGAUGUUGAAUUAAAAUAUCUGUAUAAUUGCAGCAGUUAUAUAAGAAGGUCUGUUCGACCUUUAAAUUUUU
rnacentral:rRNA from 1 species